rnacentral:lncRNA from 1 species
CUCUCGAGAUCUAAAGAGCCCUUGUGAAAUUCAUUAAACAGAACAACAAUAUCAUCACCAAUAAUGUCUCAGAAUCUUUUGAAGAAAGCAAAAGUGAAACCAUUGGGGCUGGAAGCUUUUAAGUUUCCAAAAGAGAAGACUAUAUUUUUUAUCUCUUUCAUAAAAAGAGUCUCAACCAGAUAGCUUAGGUCGACCCUGGGGACAUCAUAUAGAUAUUUUCGAUUAAAGGACAUGUGAGGGGAGA